rnacentral:rRNA from 1 species
CGCGUAGGCGGUCUUGUAAGUCUUGUGUGAAAUCCCUCGGCUUAACUGAGGAACUGCACGGGAUACUGCAUGACUUGAGAUCGGGAGAGGGAAGCGGAAUUCCGGGUGUAGCGGUGAAAUGCGUAGAUAUCCGGAGGAACACCGGUGGCGAAGGCGGCUUCCUGGACCGACACUGACGCUGAGGCGCGAAAGCUAGGGGAGCAAACG